UACCAACUUCUAAGGAAGGCAGCAGGCGCGCAAUUUUACCCAAUUAGCAUAUUCAACUAAAUAAGCUAGAGGUAGUGACGACAAAUAGGAAUAGAAAGUGGUUUUAAAACUAUUUUUCUAAUUCAAAUGAGUACAAUGUAAAUACCUUAACAAGGAUCAAUUGGAGGGGCAAGUCUGGUGCCAGCAGCCGCGGUAAUUCCAGCUCCAAUAGCGUAUAUUAUAGUUGUUGCAGUUAAAAAGUUCGUAGUUGGAUUUUAAGAAAGGGAAAUAAUGGUGGUAGUUAAUUGCAAAAACAAUUAAUUUAUCAUCGUCCUUUUCAACCAGAAAAUGGUUUCGGGGAAUAGAAAGAGCAAUCUUUUUAUCUCUCCGCUUUUACUUUGACUAAUUCCAAGUGUUCAAAGCAGGCCACAUUAGUUGUGCCAGUUUUUGAAGGUUACAGCAUGGUAUAAUAGAAUAUGUUAUACGUGACAUAUUGUUUUGGUUAUUUACAUAUGGAUCUCACGUGAAAAAUGAUAAAUAGAGAUAGUUGGGGGG
rnacentral:rRNA from 1 species